rnacentral:rRNA from 1 species
AUUGAACGCUGGCGGCAUGCCUAACACAUGCAAGUCGCACGCGAAAGGGGGCAACCCUGAGUAGAGUGGCGGACGGGUGCGUAACGCGUAGGAAUCUACCUCGUAGUGGGGGACAACCCGGUGAAAACCGGGCUAAUACCGCAUACGAUCCAUGGAUGAAAGCAGGGGACCGCAAGGCCUUGCGCUAUGAGAUGAGCCUGCGUCGGAUUAGCUAGUUGGUGAGGUAAUGGCUCACCAAGGCAACGAUCCGUAGCUGGUCUGAGAGGACGACCAGCCACACUGGGACUGAGACACGGCCCAGACUCCUACGGGAGGCAG